AAAAAUAAUUCAUUUUUCAUUUAUAAAUAGGGAAAAUGAGUUCUUUUAUAAAGACUACAACUUAUUAUAAACAUCAUGUGUAGAAUGAGCCAGAGAGGCAGCAAAAGGGAUCGGAAGGCAGCUGUACAGAGAGCAAAAGGCAACAGCGAGCACCUUAAUCUCUGAGAUGGAGCAGAAGAGAGCAGAAUAAAGAGCAAAGUUGCUGAUUUUUUAAAAAGAAAACUACGUUCUUUUGUAUCCAUUUCUUUUUGUGGGGAAACACAUUUACAAG